rnacentral:rRNA from 1 species
AAUCAACGCUGGCGGCGUGCCUCAGACAUGCAAGUCGAACGCGAAAGUCCCCUUCGGGGGACAAGUAGAGUGGCGCACGGGUGAGUAACACGUAGGUAAUCCACCUUCGGAUGGGAAUAACAACCGGAAACGGUUGCUAAUACCGCAUAAUGCAGCGGCACCUAAUGGUGACAGUUGUUAAAGCGGGGGAUCGAAAGACCUCGCGUCUGAAGAGGAGCCUGCGGCGGAUUAGCAGUUGGUAAGGUAACGGCUUACCAAGGCGACGAUCCGUAGCCGGCCUGAGAGGGCGGUCGGCCACACUGAUACUGACAUACGGGUCAGACUCCUACGGGAGGCAGCAGUCGGAAUUUGGGCAAUGGGCGAAAGCCUGAUCCAGCAACGCCGCGUGAAGGAUG